CUGGUCCUGGGGCAUGGCGGGGAGAGGGAGUGUUACCAGCUCCACAGAUUGAAGGUCACCCUAGAGGGAGCUGAAAGUUACUGUCGUAACCGUAACCGUGGGGGACACCUCCCUGAUGACUGGAACCAGAACACUCCCGGCUUCAUCCAGGACUCCCUGGAAGAAGGGACCAAAUGGUGGAUCGGGCAAAAGUCGGUGCCCCUGAGCGAGCCGCAGGAAAAGCACUCAGACAGCGUUGCCCGCCCACUGCUGGUCAACUGCACUCUGGUGUCCAAGACGUCGGGGCGGACCAGGCUGGAAGAGGACUCGUGCACCAGUAGACAUUACCUCAUCUGCAAAGUUGGUGAAGAUGACAAUCAAGGGAAUGAAAAUAACUCAAGUUCCAGGAAAACAGAGAAAGAAGUUAAGAGAGGACAAGGACAAGACUCAGGUGAUCUGCCACUCCUCUCGCCACCUCGGUGUCAGACACCAGCCCCUGUCUGACAGGUGCACAGGCGAGAACGAUGCUGGAAUGCGGUACCUGGACAUGCACCUGCCGGAGCGCUGCCCGCCUUCCCUUGUGGCUGAUCUUUGGCCUUUGCUUUUGUUUUUCUCGAAAUGUCCUUAAUCGUCUUCUUUGCAUAUAUGCCCAUUAAAGAAAAGAUAAUUCUCAACAAAAUUUUUCAGUCCAGAAGGAGAAGGUUCUCUAACCUUCUCUUCCUCCCUUUCUCUCUCUCU